GCUUGCUUGCUCAAGAGGCGACUCGGGCUUCGUGUCGUCCGGGGCCCGUCUUCUGCGUCCCAUCUCUGCGGCGGGUCGGGUUCUAUAUACGGUGCAGCACAGCGUCAACGCUGGCGCCGCCGCUGCCGCAGAUGCGUGGAGGCGAGCGCCAUCUGGUGGUGGUGGUGCAAGAAACCCAGCGGCACACGCGGCGCACGCCUUCCGCUGCGAGUGGUUGCAUGGUCUGUCGACGGAGACGAAGAAACCCCGGGAUCCUAGUCAUAAACAGCUUCGCUAUAAAAUUACAUUUUUGUAUCGACCACGCCAUUACACGGCGGCCUUCAUCGCUGCACUAAAACCGUUGCGAAAAUGUCCUUAACAGCUUCGCUGCAAUAAAUUAGAUUAAAUAAUGCG